rnacentral:rRNA from 1 species
UACAGAGGGUGCAAGCGUUGUUCGGAAUUAUUGGGCGUAAAGGGCUCGUAGGCGGCCAACUAAGUCAGACGUGAAAUCCCUCGGCUUAACCGGGGAACUGCGUCUGAUACUGGAUGGCUUGAGGUUGGGAGAGGGAUGCGGAAUUCCAGGUGUAGCGGUGAAAUGCGUAGAUAUCUGGAGGAACACCGGUGGCGAAGGCGGCAUCCUGGACCAAUUCUGACGCUGAGGAGCGAAAGCCAGGGGAGCAAACGGG